UACGGAGGGGGCUAGCGUUGUUCGGAAUUACUGGGCGUAAAGCGCACGUAGGCGGCUAUUCAAGUCGGGGGUGAAAGCCCGGGGCUCAACCCCGGAAUUGCCCUCGAAACUAGAUAGCUAGAAUCUUGGAGAGGCGAGUGGAAUUCCGAGUGUAGAGGUGAAAUUCGUAGAUAUUCGGAAGAACACCAGUGGCGAAGGCGACUCGCUGGACAAGUAUUGACGCUGAGGUGCGAAAGCGUGGGGAGCGAACAGG
rnacentral:rRNA from 1 species